rnacentral:rRNA from 1 species
AGACCCGAAACCCGGUGAUCUAGCCAUGGGCAGGUUGAAGGUUGGGUAACACUAACUGGAGGACCGAACCGACUAAUGUUGAAAAAUUAGCGGAUGACCUGUGGCUGGGGGUGAAAGGCCAAUCAAACCGGGAGAUAGCUGGUUCUCCCCGAAAGCUAUUUAGGUAGCGCCUCGUGAAUUCAUCUCCGGGGGUAGAGCACUGUUUCGGCUAGGGGGCCAUCCCGGCUUACCAACCCGAUGCAAACUGCGAAUACCGGAGAAUGUUAUCACGGGA